CUUCUCCACAUCACCAUCGGUCACCUCAAUCUGAGGCUGAUGGCAGGCUGUGGAUCGACCGGUCGGCACUAUACUCCUCUGUGAGUGACUCGCUUUCCACAACAGAGGAUGUCCUGAUAAGAGAGAAGCAGAAACAAUAAUGCAGUCUUAUGUUCCCCUAAAGUGAGGGAGCCACUGCUUGGAGAAAGCUCACGAUGAGAUGAAGACUCCCUUUCCUCAAAGUCUUCCUCCUCUGGGGGUAAUUUGGAGACCGUGGCUGACCAAGCGUAUUCACCUAUUCUGACCAGAAGGAAAAGAGGCGAGAGUCCACGGUUCGUAUUUAGCUGGGUGUUUCGACGAUCACGGCCAUAGGAUCUCCCUCCUGUUGUUGGGAACCAGAGGGGGUCUCCUUCAGUGGUAUGGCUGCGAGGAUGUCAGCUGUAUUGGGGCUGCCUACUGUGACUUCAAGUAUUGUAACAUCUGAUCAGCCGGCAGAGGCACGACAUGGUCUAAUAUUCCAGCUGCGGAGGGGGUCUCCUCCCCUAGGAUACUCCUUACGCUUGCUUCAUCCAUUAUUGGGAAAGGGGGUGACCUGGAUGAUUUGAUUGCGUUUGCUUGUUUCAGUCUUUAUAUCCAGAGGUGGUAGGAAGUAAUGUCCUGGGAAUGGAGUCUGAUAGGGUGGCUUGUAGAAUCUGCAAAAGACCAUAUUACUGAAGGGGGGCGACCAGGGUGUAUACGACAACCCCCUGUUUGGUUUAAGGACUACAUUGUAACAUCUUAGGCACUCUUAGGGAGUCCAGGUUUAUGAGGGUGGGUAAUGUAGCGUGUCAUUAGACACUGGCAAAGAAGUCCGUCUUUUAUUUAUACAUGAUUUAAAGUGUUUGUUAUUGUUGUGCUUAGCUGCAAAUGCACUUACUUUUUCUCUUUAUAUGUCGGUAAACUCUAAUUGUAAGGGUUCACAUAUGGGCAGGGGGUUUGUAUUUGGGGAGGUCUGUUAAAAGUGUGCUGUGUAUGCUUUUUGACACUAAUGACUGUGUGCUGUGGACUUAAAAUAUAUACUGGGUUGAUUUUA